rnacentral:rRNA from 1 species
UACGUAGGGCGCAAGCGUUUGUCCGGAAUUAUUGGGCGUAAAGAGCUCGUAGGCGGUCUGUCGCGUCGGAUGUGAAAGCCCGGGGCUUUAACCCCGGGUCUGCAUUCGAUACGGGCAGACUAGAGUGUGGUAGGGGAGAUCGGAAUUCCUGGUGUAGCGGUGAAAUGCGCAGAUAUCAGGAGGAACACCGGUGGCGAAGGCGGAUCUCUGGGCCAUUACUGACGCUGAGGAGCGAAAGCGUGGGGAGCGAACAGG